CCUACGGGUGGCAGCAGUGGGGGAUAUUGGACAAUGGGGGGAACCCUGAUCCAGCGACGCCGCGUGAGUGAAGAAGUAUCUCGGUAUGUAAAGCUCUAUCAGCAGGGAAGAAGAAAUGACGGUACCUGACUCAGCAGCCCCGGCUAACUACGUGCCAGCAGCCGCGGUAAUACGUAGGGGGCAAGCGUGAUCCGGAUUUACUGGGUGUACAGGGAGCGUAGACGGCAGCACAAGUCUGGAGUGAAAUCACGGGGCUUAACCCCGGAACUGCGUUGGAAACUGUGCGGCUGGAGUGCAGGAGGGGUAAGCGGAAUUCCUAGGGUAGCGGUGAAAUGCGUAGAUAUUAGGAGGAACACCGGUGGCGAAGGCGGCUUACUGGACUGUAACUGACGUUGAGGCUCGAAAGCGUGGGGAGCAAACAGGAUUAGAUACCCGAGUAGUC
rnacentral:rRNA from 1 species